rnacentral:lncRNA from 1 species
CUAAAUAUCAAGGCAGUAUUCACUGUUUUCAAAUAUGUAUAUGUUGUCGACUACUGUAUUGUUCUUACAUUCUAAAAUGUGCAAGUACAUGUACACUCUACUCCUAGGUGAUUGAUAGCUAUUAUUACACCCAUAUUAUGCACGCCAACCAAAGUCAGGGCUGUUGCUGAUUUGGAGUAGUCUUUAAUAAAUCUGUUAUAUUUU